rnacentral:rRNA from 1 species
UACGUAGGGGGCAAGCGUUGUCCGGAUUUAUUGGGCGUAAAGAGCGUGUAGGCGGCCAUGUAGGUCCGUUGUGAAAACUCGAGGCUCAACCUCGAGACGCCGAUGGAAACCAUGUGGCUAGAGUCCGGAAGAGGAGAGUGGAAUUCCUGGUGUAGCGGUGAAAUGCGCAGAUAUCAGGAGGAACACCAAUAGCGAAGGCAGCUUGCUGGGACGACACUGACGCUAAGGCGCGAAAGCGUGGGGAGCGAACAGG